GAUGAACGCUGGCGGCGUGCUUAACACAUGCAAGUCGAGCGGAUGUAGCAAUACAUCAGCGGCAAACGGGUGCGUAACACGUAAGUAAUCUUCCCCUAAGACCGGCACAACCAGCCGAAAGGUUGGCUAAUACCGGAUGUGGUAGUUGGGACUGACGUCCCGAUUACUAAACGGAACGCAAGAACCGCUUAGGGAUGAGCUUGCGGCCUAUCAGCUAGUUGGUGGGGUAAUGGCCUACCAAGGCGAUGACGGGUAGCUGGUCUGAGAGGACGACCAGCCACACUCGCACUGAGAUACGGGCGAGACACCUACGGGAGGCUG
rnacentral:rRNA from 1 species